UAAAUUAAUUGUUAGGUGAGGCUCCUAUACGGACACAGGCUACUGCCCAAAAAUGUCGAGAGACGCCAAUGGGUAUAACAGGGAUUAUCGUGAAGGUGAUUCAUAACGUAGCUGACAGAUUCUGUCUACGCCCUAUAGUGCUAAAGCUCGACGAUGAACAUGAAUG
rfam:Enterococcus avium ATCC 14025 genomic scaffold acpMO-supercont1.3, whole genome shotgun sequence.